UACAGAGGUCUCAAGCGUUGUUCGGAUUCAUUGGGCGUAAAGGGUGCGUAGGCGGCGCGGUAAGUCGGGUGUGAAAUCUUGGAGCUUAACUCCGAAACUGCAUUCGAUACUGCCGUGCUUGAGGACUGGAGAGGAGACUGGAAUUUACGGUGUAGCGGUGAAAUGCGUAGAUAUCGUAAGGAAGACCAGUGGCGAAGGCGGGUCUCUGGACAGUUCCUGACGCUGAGGCACGAAGGCCAGGGGAGCAAGCGGG
rnacentral:rRNA from 1 species